UACGUAGGGUGCAAGCGUUAAUCGGAAUUACUGGGCGUAAAGCGUGCGCAGGCGGUUUUGUAAGUCUGUCGUGAAAGCCCCCGGGCUCAACCUGGGAAUUGCGAUGGAGACUGCAAGGCUGGAGUCUGGCAGGAGGGGGGUAGAAUUCCACGUGUAGCAGUGAAAUGCGUAGAGAUGUGGAGGAACACCGGAUGGCGCAAGG
rnacentral:rRNA from 1 species